rnacentral:other from 1 species
GCGCCCCUGCGUUGAGCGAAAGGCGAUUAAUUGCCCGAGCCGAUAAUUGCUGACAGGGAGCCUAGCUAUUUUGGCCGUGUGCGUCUCGCUAGCCGAGAUACCUGAAGUCAGAAUGCGGCGCCCACUUCGAUUCGAAGGGUUCGGCAACAAUCCGCCAUUACGCCAGCGCGGGGGUGCU